rnacentral:rRNA from 1 species
GAUGAACGCUGGCGGCGUGCCUAAUACAUGCAAGUCGAGCGAACAGACGAGGAGCUUGCUCCUCUGACGUUAGCGGCGGACGGGUGAGUAACACGUGGAUAACCUACCUAUAAGACUGGGAUAACUUCGGGAAACCGGAGCUAAUACCGGAUCAUAUAUUGAACCGCAUGGUUCAAUAGUGAAAGACGGUUUUGCUGUCACUUAUAGAUGGAUCCGCGCCGCAUUAGCUAGUUGGUAAGGUAACGGCUUACCAAGGCAACGAUGCGUAGCCGACCUGAGAGGGUGAUCGGCCACACUGGAACUGAGACACGGUCCAGACUCCUACGGGAGGCAGCAGUAGGGAAUCUUCCGCAAUGGGCGAAAGCCUGACGGAGCAACGCCGCGUGAGGGAUGAAGGUCUUCGGAUCGGAAAACUCUGUUAUUAGGGAAGAACAAAUGUGUAAGUAACUAUGCACGUCUUGACGGUACCUAAUCAGAAAGCCACGGCUAACUACGUG